GACUUCAACUGAAAAAGUCAUCAAUAACAAAGUUGUAUAACUCAUCAAGAUCUAUAACUUUUAUUUUGGUUAUUUCUUCAUCCGACAAAGUGAUACUAACAUUGUUCACAAAAUUAACGUAUCUCUUAUCGGAUUUUAUAAACUAUAACACAUAUAUGUAAAAUUUGUGAAUAAUAUUACUAAUACUUUGUCGGAUGAAGAAAUGACAAAAAUAAAAGUUUUAGAUCUUGAUGAGUUAUACAAUUUUGUUGUUUAUGACUUUUUCAAUUGAAAUC
rfam:Oryza punctata chromosome 7, whole genome shotgun sequence.